UUGGAAUUCUUCAGCCUCCUAAUGUGACUGGACUGCUCAACCUUGGGUGGAGGUAUCUAUUAGCAUCUUUUUUCUUCGUUGGGAGAUUCUGGCUAAUCUGAAAGACACUCAUAACCCAAGGAAGCCAAAGUGAUCUAACUUAUGUGAAUCUGACCAUGCCUGUCCAGCAUUUUAACAGGAAGAUUUACAGGAAUCAAGUGUGAUUGCCGGAGAUGCUACAGUAGAACUCUGUGGACUACUACAGUGGCCAGAAUGAAGAAAAAUGGAUCUCUGAUGCCUUCACUCCAAGACAUCACUGCUAUGAGGAAGAAACCUGCUGUUCCCAGAUAUACACACACAAAGGCUUGUAUGAAACAGGCAAAAAAGGAAAUAGUUUGCCUGCCUAGAAGAAAGAUGACCAGCAACUUGGGAAUAACAGCACUUAUGAAACAACACUCAAAGAAGGAGAAAAUGCUGAGGAAAAAGUACAUAGGUGUCUGGAGCCGGGAGUCAGCACAGGUGAUGGUGAUUAUGACAGCAUUUCCUGUAAUAGAUGCCAGGUAUGCCAGCAGGUGCACCAGGAAGAGGAUCUUUCCCAGGUGCUGGAAGGCAGGAAACCCCUCCAAGGUGAAAUCCUGGACAGUGGUCUCAUUCCCCAUUUCCAUGUGCAUCUCUUUCCAUAAUAUCAUCACUGCUGGUCUUAACCUACAAUAAAGACAUAAAG